GGCGGCUGCGCUGGCUUAGAGCUGUUACUGUCAUUCUACAACUUUACAACAAUGCCCCAGACACAGAAAAGGUUGCGCCUUGGAACGAUUUCUGUUAUGGGAUAAUAAAAAUCCCGACGUCAGAGCUAAGGAAUGUGACCUUCCGCUGCUCCAGUUGUAACUCCCUGCUGUCCUCCUGCUUGAGCCUUUUAGGGUAAAGUUCAGCACAUAUCACCCUCGUCAACCGCGCCCCGUAAGGCAGCCACAGAGUCCUGUGCUGAUUGAUGAUGAUGGGAGCAGGAGGGGAGUGGAGGGAUAUACAGAACGCCAGGCGGCAGCCACGCGGUGCAGGCAGAGGCUCUCUCCUCGCAGGAGCCUGCCAGCUGGCUGUUGUGUUCUUGUAGGGAAUAAAUCAGGAGGCACAGCUCUGCCCGGGGCUUUCUUGGGCAGUAGGAGGAACUGGGUGAAAGGUCUUGGCUGCUGAGGCCACAAUAUUUCCCGAAUCCUGUGCUAUUUCUUGUGAAACUACGAAUCCAAGACUGUUUCCUAGAUUGUGGCAGAUGUGGGACCCGGGGGGACCUUCAGAGUCAUCUCCCAGGCGACUCUCUCCUUUGCAGAUGAGGAGCUGAGGUCCCACCGCUCAGAAGCUGACUGGGCAGGUCAGCAGCCUCCCUGGCCAGGACACAAUCUGCUGCGCUGCCACAGGGUCUGGCUGGGCAGGUGUGGGACUGAGCUCUGGGGACCAAUAGUGACACCGCACAGGCAACCUUCAGCAUGCUGGACAUGAGAACGAGGGCGGGCCUGCAAUCCUCGGAUCACUGUGUUGGUAGUUCUUAGUAGAUCAUACUGUUCUUGAUGCCUUGGGCCAGACUGGAAUGAAAUAUUUUUUCUCGGAUUUGGUAAACUCGUUUGCUGGGGUAAGUCGUGGUGUUCCGUAUUGCUUUGGAUGUGUAGCCCAGGAAUAAGAUGGCAGCACUGCAGGAUUCCGGAGCCACCCACAGCACCGACUGCUGCUGGAGAUACACAAUCAUGGGCACUCGUGAAGCUGCAGAAACUCACGGGGACCCUGACACCAGCUGCUCCUUGGACAGAGGGAGGCCCGUCAUCUGGGUCUGAAGGAGGCUCCCAAGACUCUGACACAGAAC
rnacentral:lncRNA from 10 species